rnacentral:lncRNA from 1 species
ACAUACAUAUUUCUGUGUUUUCUCCUUAAGGGCUCUCAGAUAUGGUUUCUUUUACAUGCUUCAGCUUUGCCUACCUUCAAAAGAAAGAAACCAGAAAGUGCCCAUUGAGAACUGAUUUGUGAAGUUUCAAGCACCUCCUACCAACUCUGUUUCAUUUGCAGCUCAAUUUCCAUUCACAUCAAUAAGCCAUAUGAAGGAAAAUCUUAAAAUAAAAACUGUUCCUGACAGCAAACCAUUGUACCGAGAAGGCCCAAGCCUGUGGAGCAUAGUAAGGCUAAGUAAAAGAUGAAUCUUGAACAAUAUCAUAGACAUUUUAAGAAAACUAGGGCCACCUUGGAGCUCUCUGUGCAGAUGGAAGUCUCGGCUGUGUGAUUGCUCUCGGCUCAGUCAGAAGUCAGAAGUCUCGGCCACGCAUGAGCUCUCUGCACAGAAGAAAGUCUUGGCUGCGCAUGUGCUCUGAGCUCAGCCGCACUUGGGCUCUUGGCACAGUUGGAAGUCUUUGGCCUCGGGUUUGCUCUCAGCUCAGAUGGAAGUCUUGGCCAUGCAGGCGCCCUCAGCACAGAGAAUAGUUAGCACAGAACAUAGAAGCUUUGCUUGUGGGUCACAAGACCAAGCUCUCUACAUGGCCAAAGUUCACUGCAGAACCACCCACCUCACCAAACACCCUACACAAGUAAGAGAU